CCCACAAUGUUAAUGCAGAGUGUCAAACUGC
rnacentral:piRNA from 1 species